rnacentral:rRNA from 1 species
AUGGUUGUCAUAAUCCGCAACCAAGUAUUCGUGAUAAGUUCAGCUAGGCAGAGUGUUAGCAUUGUGAUCCUCCUGCUGUUGGUUAUGUCUCAUGUAGCUGUGGUUUCAAGGGCUCAGAAGACGAAAUCGAAACAACGAGAAGAACCACCUUCGGAAGAAAGAACUGGAUUACUUGGUGAGGAGGCUGCGCAGCAGGAUUCUGAGAGUGCCAGCUCUAGCACCGCGCUCAUGGGAUCUGGUCAGACAAAGAGAACCUGA